ACUUUAGGAUUAAAACUUUGGUCCAGAAAUGCUACUAUUGAAGAUUGAACAAAGAAAGCCAAUACAUUUUAGUGUACUUGAUCUUGAUGUCUAUGUUGUGUAGUUGUAGCAGCCCAAAAAUGAGCUGCUGACAUUGUUGUGAUUUUAACCUUUAGCUCCUUCAGUUUAUUAGCUGGUUGAGUAUUUUCCCUUCAUUUGUCAGUUAACUGGAAGUAUGCUUAGGUCAAUGUUUGUAACUUUAAUUUUAAUUAGUUCCUCCUAUGCUAUCUACAUGCUAGUAGAAAAUAUAACAUUGGUCAAAUGUAAAAAUACCAAACAUUGAUCCAAUCUAGUUAAACUCCUUCAAGCAGGGGUAGAUACACCAGCUUCCUCUGACAGCUGUCUCGGGACAGCGCUUCUGUCACGAACCGAGCCGAGGCCAUCGCCGCGAUGGGUUUCCGAACCACGAAGGCCUGAGAGACCCCUUAGCAUACUAUCAUAAGCAUAAUCUAUACAUAAAUCAAAGUGUGGAAGAGAUAACAAAAUUCAAGUUGAUCCUAUGAUCAAUAUAUGUCAAUAAAGUUAUGUCAAUACAACACUCAAAUUCCGUCUACAAAGCCUCUACUGUCGAGAUGAAGACUAUUGAAAGACUGCGUGAGGAAAUUGGACAGACGAUGAUGCUUAAUGUGAAGAAAGACCCAACAUCUGCAAAGGUACCUGAAACUGGUGGUCCGGUUAAGACAAGCUUUUUCUUUGGAGGCUUACUGGAAAAGUUCCUAACUUAAAAGUUCAUCUGUUGUGAGCUUACCUACUUAUAUAGAAGAAUAAAGCACUUAAUUAUAAGUCAAACGCAUAAAUGUGGCAAGGUUUCCCUGUAAAAAUAUGUGUAGAUACAUUGGACAAUUAUCCUUGCCAGGAUAAACAAAGGGAAAAAGAUGGGAAGAAAAAAGAACCUGCCCCAUUCAGUCUUAUUCUGUGCUGAAGUGUGGAAUUAUCCAAUGACUGUGUGCUGCUCUUGCACAAUAAAAGAUGAAAGUAUGACUUUAGGAUUAAAACUUUGGUCCAGAAAUGCUACUAUUGAAGAUUGAACAAAGAAAGCCAAUACAUUUUAGUGUACUUGAUCUUGAUGUCUAUGUUGUGUAGUAGUAGCAGCCCAAAAAUGAGCUGCUGACAUUGUUGUGAUUUUAACCUUUAGCUCCUUCAGUUUAAUUUUUAGCUGGUUGAGUAUUUUCCCUUCAUUUGUCAGUUAAUUGGCAGUAUGCUUAGGUCAAUGUUUGUAACUUUAAUUUUAAUUAGGCCCUCCUAUGCUAUCUACAUGCUAGUAGAAAGUAAAACAUAGGUCAAAUGUAAAAAUACCAAACAUUGAUCCAAUCUAGUUAAACUCCUUCAAGCAGGGGUAGAUACACCAGCUUCCUCUGACAGCUGUCUCGGGACAGCGCUUCUGUCACGAACCGAGCCGAGGCCAUCGCCGUGAUGGGUAUUCCGAACCACGAAGGCCCCAGAGACCCCUUAGCAUACUAUCAUAAGCAUAAUCUAAACAUAAAUCAAAGUGCGGAAGAGAUAACAAAAUUCAAGUUGAUCCUAUGAUCAAUAUAUGUCAAUAACAACUCCAUUAUCGAUAAUUCAGCAACUCCAUUAACAACAACAACAAAAUCACUAAUCAAUCUUCACCAUUGAAGACAACAUCAAAGAAAGGAGAAACUCCAUUAAGCACAAAAUGAGUAACGAUUCUUCACCAUUGUCAACAACAUCAAAGAUGUGGAAAAAAAAUUCUUUCUUUUUUACAAAAUCAGUUAACUGAUUAAGAAAUCUUUUUUUCAUUUAUUAAUGGAGCUGCUGAUUCAACAACAAUUAACUUUUAAUACUCCCUCCGUCCCAUUUUAUGUGUCAUCAUUUCCUUUUUAGUUCGUCCCAAAAAGAAUGUCAUGUUUCCUUAUUUGGCAAAUAUUUAAAAACACAACUACACUUUUACCCUUAUUGGUCCCACUUAAUUAAAAAAAAAGAUAGAAACACAUUUUUUUAUAAAGGACAAUUUGGUAAAUAUUAUCAAGUCUUCCCUUAUUUCUUAAACUCCGUGCCCGAUCAAAUGGCGACACAUAAAAUGGGACGGAGGGAGUAAUGACCAUGAGUUUGCAUAAACCUUAUCGCUUUGAGAAAGACCCGACAUAAAAUGAAUCGAUAACAUAUAGAAAGCAUAGUUUCUUAGAACCAAACAUAAUGUGAGACAUGGAUUUAUGGAUCAUGAGCAUCAUAACAUAGAGCUUAAAUACUUGUAAGCUUGGAUUGUUAAGAGACAUUAUGUCUUCUAGUUUUGAGGUCGAAACAUGACAUAAGUGUAGGGAGAACUCAAACCUUAAGCAUAGGCAUUGAAGUAGGAGGAGUUUGCUUGAAUAGGAAUAGAUUUAUCAUGACUCUUCCCUAAAACUCGCCACAAUGACAUAAUUUAAGAACUACCUUAAUUCACCAUCUCCCUCUUAGAUCAAAGUCACAUUCCUAGAUUUACGGACAUAUCCUCUCAUCAGAUCUAUAAUCACAACUCUCAACACAAUUGCGGGGGAGGGGUAUCACUAUACAGUUGAACAUCAGACUCGCCCUCGCCCUGCCCUCGCCCUGAUAAACUAUAUAAGAAAAGUACUAACUUCUUGCUAAGACAUUCCUUCCAAGGGCACUACUCUCAACUUCGUCUAGCCUCCAAGCUUGAACUCUAACCUCACUGCCUUUCAACCUUAGUUUGGAAAUAAAGAGUGACCCUUUUGAGAGAAAGCGAAAGUUUUAAGGCUUAAAGACGGGCUAUGAAAAGAUUGGAUGGUUUAUAGGACAUAAAAGGACCAAGAUAACCUUAAUACACUUUAAAAACGAACUCCCGUCGACGAAAGAAGGGAGGUCCUUGGCAUGAAGCCCAAAGUGAACCUCCAGCUCUGCGGCGCGAAGCCCAAUGCAAAGCAGCAUCCGCGAUGCAUAGCCCAGUGCGAAGCUGAGGUAGUGAGCCGUCAUGGCUCCCUUGUGGUGCGAAGCCACUGUAAACUCACCUCUUUGCGACGCACAAUCUAAUUUCCAUGCCCAAACUUUCCCCAAUGCAUUAAAACCUAUCUCAGGACGUCUUAUAUUCAAUCUUGGGAUCACGUAAGCUCGUUUUAAGCACAAUUUAGACUCCACAAACACCCAACUGUUACAAACUCUUUGCUACAACACUAAUCCUCGUAUCCAUAUAUAUAUAUAUAUAUAUAUAUCAAAAAUUUUCACUCAAACUUCUUAUAAGUUGUCAACCUAGGCCCCUUUCACACAUUACAUCAAGCCUACUAAUUCAUUCCCACAAAUCUUGCAUCACAAUUCUUCAGUUAACAUUCUUAUCACCACAAUCCACAUCCAAAGUUCAAGCCUAGUUCCUAGCACCAAUCGUGUACCACCAAUGAGAUGUCCCACAUCAAAUGUGUAUGCAAAAAUUGGAACGAUCUUAUCAAAAACUCGAGUUCAUUGAAAAACACUUCAACAGUGAUGGUAAUCGUCUCCGUCUAACGAUUUGCAAGUUUGGUGUUAACAACCAGAAAGAUCCCAUAAAGAUUUUCGAUGCGUACUUGCUCCCUGAUAAAUAUUUACCGGAUGUGUCCCUACUCAUCAGCUGAUUUACCGUUGCGAUGAUGUUGGUGAUUUUAGAUGUAUUUAUGGUCCAAUUAAUGGCUUAUUCUUAUUAGAGAAAGGACAUUACAUAGAUAACGGUCGAUUUGUCUGAUGGAACCCUGCAACGAAAGAGUGUAGGCUUAUUCCUCGUGCUGUUUUCGAGGUACAAAAAUAUUUCGAAGACAACAAGCGUAGUGUUGGAAUAGGAAUAGACCUAGCGAAUCAUGAUUAUAAAAUCAUAUGGGUACGGUUAUUUUGGGAUGAUUUGCAGAGCGAUGUUUUCCUUAAGGUUUAUGCUGUUGUCUAUUCGACGAAAAAUAACUAAUGGAAGCACUUGGAGCCGAAUUUCUCACAUGAAUGUCAACUAUGUUUAUCCCAAAAUUGUACCUACAAGAAUGGUAUGUACUAUUGGAUUAGUACUAGCAGGAGGUUUUGCAAUAGAGAGAAAAACGUGUAUUUUAUUCGAACAUUUGAUUUUUCAACUGAAUUAUUCGGGCAAUUGGAAGGACCACCAAUUCCAGGUGACCAUUGGACAUCGUUAAUGUUACGAGGUAGUACACUUGCAACUAUGUCUAGUGAUGAUGUUACACAGGAAAUGACGGCUUGUUACGAUAUAUGGGUAAUGAUUCGAGAAAAUAAUUGGAUCAAAGUUUAUACUGUGAAUCCAUCAAUACCAUCACAUUGGCCUGUUGGGAUUUGGGAGUAUGACAAGUUUAUUUUUGAACACACACAAACUUGCAAGUUGGUGUUUUAUGAUCAAACAGCUAAACAACUUACAAGUUUUGGAUUUCAAUUUUUCGAACUAGGUUGUGGCUCCGAUUGGGCUAUGAGUUAUAAGGAGAGCUUAGUUCCGAUAAGUAAAGAAAAACCGACUGAGAAGGACAAUGUUGACCUCUUCUUGAUAAAGUUAUAAACAAGCACGAGCAACGAGUUAAAGUUCGAAAAAAGUCUUUUUUAUGAUUCGAUCAUUUAUAUGAUUGAGCUGUGAAAACUUUUGCAUAGAUACCCUACAUCAGAAUUCUAAGCUGAAUUAUUUUUGGUUGAAGAAUCUCUUUCUAGUUGCUUUGAAAUAAUUAGGAGAUUCUCGAAAUACGCAAUAUCCCGCUUAUGGAAUCAAAUCAAUAUGUUCUCCCGGAGAAAUGUGAGGAUGAUAUUGUAAAUGUAGAGGUCAAAUGUUUGAAUAUGGGUUUUUGUUCCUUAUUUUGCAGUAUUUUUUUUAUUUCUCUGAAAAGAAAAGUUCAAAUUUUUGCGAUCCAAAAAACAUGUUCAUCAGGAAGUAUUGAAAUAUUGAAAACUUCAGAAUCCUUACAAGAACUCUUAGAAAUUGCCAAACAAUUUUAUUACAAAUGGACUAGUCAGCUUCAAGGUGUGUUUGGAUAAAUAGUUGGUGAUAGUUCAAGUAGAAAACACAAACAUUUGAUAGUUCAGGCAGAAACCUCGCAAAAAUGUGAUACUUCAGGUGUGUUUUUGACCAUUAUCUCUUUAAUUAAUGGUGAUUAUAUUGAGGGUCCUACUAAUGAAGAUGCCUCAAUUUCAACCCAAAUUAUAGUUGCAUAAGGCAAUUAGGUUUAUAUCAAUUGCAAAUGAAUUCAACUAAUGAACAACGAGCUUGUUAGGCCAAGUUUUUACUUUUGCCAAGAUAGCUUUUUCAGAAAAUAUUUCCUGAGAGAUGCCGCUUAUGUUUGGCCAAUCAAUUGCUUUUCCUUGUAUUUGUUGAUUCAUUUGUCGUUUUGAUGAAUAACAAACAAAGUUUAUUUGUAAGGAAAUUACGAAGUUGGUCUAGUUAUUAAAUUAAUCAGAAAAAAUUGUUUUGAACAUCUAAAGAACAUAAGAUUCGAAUUGUCAUCACACAUAAAAGUCAUAUUAUUAACUAGGAAAGUUAGGCAGCAGUUGGAAUCAAGGAUCUAUUUAUUCAGCUAAAAGAUACAAUUUAUAAGUGGUGGAAUACUAAACUUAGACCACUACUUAUUACCGCACCUGUUUUUAUACUGUGUCAACUUUGGAAGAAAAGAAAUACCAUUAAACAUGGAGGUAAGUUGUCAAUUCAUGGCAUGAAACUUGAAGUGAAUAGGAAUAUCCAUCUUUUGGUAAGAUAAGGUAUCCUUCAUUUAGAAAUCUGCCUAAUAAUUAGUCUAUGUUGGUCAUGAUUCUGGAAGCUUACAAGCUUAGCAUUCAGGCUACUAUGGUAAACUGGAAACCCCUGAUCAUUGGUGUUAUCAACUGUAAUUCCGAUGGAGCAUCUAGAGGCAAUCCUGACCCUAGUGCUGGUGCUUUCUGUAAUAGAAAUAGUGAAGGUGAAUUCAUUUAUGCCAAUUCUUUCAAUUAUGGUAUAUUAACUAGCUUGGAGGCAGAAGUUUGUGCUUUUAAGAGGGGUUUGGAGUAUUGUGUCACUCUUAUCUUAAAGAAGAUCCUAGAUGGAGUUUGGGAAGUUCCUUGAAAGAUUGCAAUGGAUAUUAGGAGGAUUCUAUGGUAGAUGAAACAAUUUCAGGUGGAAGUGGUGCACACACAAAGGGAAGGAAACAAACUGCCAAAUUUUUUUGCUAACAAAGUUUUCUUGUUUGCAGGAUAUCAAAAUAGAGAAUAUAAAUCACUGCAGGAUAUUAUAGGCGGAGAAAAAAUAAUUGUAACAAUGGACAAGUACCAGAUACACUCAAUAAGGAUUGUCAAAUGCCAGAACAAUAAUUUUUAUAUCUAAAUGGCAACCAAGGUAGACUACAAUUCAGAUGUAAACAUAGAAGAUAAACAUCUACAUCGAUAAACAUCUAUAUCUAUUCCAAUCUAGAUCUAGAACAUAUUAAAAGUGUGAAGACCUUAGAAAAGUGAUUUGAAUUUUUUUGCCCUUCAUUAAAAGAUUCUGUAAUAGAUAAAAUCGUCUUUUCAUAUUUUUCUUCAAUUUAUAUUAUUGAAUAUUGACUACAAUAAAUACAUAAAAAAGUAAAAUGGAAAAGAUUUUCUACUUUAGUUGAAUUCCUAAAUUUAUGGCAAUAUUUUGUUAGAGAGAAUCCAACUUCAAAGAAAUUAUAUUAUAUAAAUAGGUUUUAAUAUUUUUUUUUUUUUAAAUUGACUAUUUUACAUAAAAUAGAUUAUUAAGACUCCUAAAAGAAGAAGAAAGAAAAUUCUUCCAAAAAUAAUUGCAAUGCGUGUAUUCCAAUUAAUAAAGGAUAGUAGACUUCAUAAAUAGAAAGGUACUAUUUUUUUAAGUUAGGAUUAUUAUUCUUUUGUUAUAAUAUUUUAGUUUAGAAGUUCUUGUAUUUCUUUCCUUUUUCCAAUUUUACAAGUCUUUUUUUAGGUUUAUACGUAUACAUUAUUUGGAUAAUAUUACUUUAUUGUGCUCGUAGCUUUGUUAUUGGGUAACUUUGUGAUUUUUCAAUUUUAAAUUUUUAUUUAUAUUACGUUUUGAUUUUAUUACUCAUAAAUAACAAAUCAUCCUUUUAUGUUUGUGAAUAGAUUAGUUAUUGGAUCUCUAAUAUAAUGUUUUAGUUUAAUUUCCAAGUUUCGAAUUUUCUUUUCUACUAUGCUGGUUUUGUUGAUCAAAACAUCUUUUCGUGUUUGUAUAUAUGUAACUUUCAUCAUUGAAUCUACAACGUAACUUUGUUGUUUCUAGGUUUCAAGUAACUUUCGUUAUUAAGUAACUUUGUGGCUUCUAUUCAAAUAAUAAGUUUAUGAAUUUUUGUGUAAAGAUUAGGUUUAAUUAUAUUGUUUUGAUAUCUUUAUUAUCAUAUUAUCUUGUUGUAAUUUACAUGUAGUAGAUAAAUAUCGGUCGGUUUUGAAAAAACUAUUUCAGUAAAAGAUUAGGCUUAAUUGCAUUAUUUUGAUGUCUCUACUUUGAGAAUUUUUUUAUUGUAUAAAGGUUAGAUUUGGUUGUAUUGUUUUGAUGUCACUAUUAUCGUAUUGUUUUAUUGUACUUGACAGGUGGCAGAUGAAUGUCGAUCGACUUUGAGGAAUUCUUUUUGCAAAAGUUAAGUUUAAUUAUAUUAUUUUAAUAUCUCUAUCAUCGUAGUAUUUUAUUGUACUUUAUAUGUGGUAGAUAAUCUAUUUCCAUUGGCUUUGAGAAUUUUUUUUUGGUAUAUGUUAGGUUUAAUCAAACAAAUUCUCCAUCUCUACAUGUUCAAAAAUAUUGAAUUUAAUUAUUAUCUCCUUUUUUAUUAUUUAAACAAAUAUUUUAUUUAGUAUAAUAUUUGAACUCAUUAAAUUGAGAUACACGCGCGAGACGCGUAUAACUAGACUAGUACAUACAAUGGCUCCGAAAUCAAGUCGAGGGACAAUGGAUUAGACAGGCAAUAGCAAAAAAUCGGGUUUUUUUAGUCAUCAACAUAAAAACAUGCAAACAAGUGCAUUUCAGGAUUUCGAUUAAGAUUUGCAUCUUACCUUCUCCGGAGUUAGUAGAAUCAACUGAAUCAGUACUCUUACGCAGUGGUAUCAGUUCCCCGUUGAGCUCAAUCUGUCGAGGGUAUGACUUAGUCGAUUUGGUUGCUAUAGAUGAUAGGUAAUUGAAGGGCAAAGUACGAACAACUCAAUUAGUCAGUCUUGUGCUAAGAAGAGUUGAAUAAGUCUUUCUAUGGCUCGAUUUCAUGGCAUUUGUGACACGUUGGUAAAUGUCCGAAAUGAAGUCCACCAUAACUCAGCUUUCGAACAAUUUUGGCAUUGUUUUCAUAGAUCUGUAGUUAUUUCGCACACACCGUCGGCAAUCAGAGCAGUCUCAGCGUCGCCAUAUCAGAAAAGACGAUGCUCAGUAUCCACAAUAUCUAGAGACUUCCUAGCUCCCUUUCUAUUAUUUUCAGAUUUUAGUAGUUGUCUUUUUGUUUUUUUU
rnacentral:lncRNA from 1 species